CCUACGGGUGGCUGCAGUGAGGAAUAUUGGUCAAUGGUCGCGAGCCUGAACCAGCCAAGUCGCGUGAAGGAUGACUGCACUGUGUGUUGUAAACUUCUUUUAUCUGGGAAUAAAGUGCAGUACGUGUACUCGUUUGAAUGUACCUUAUGAAUAAGGAUCGGCUAACUCCGUGCCAGCAGCCGCGGUAAUACGGAGGAUCCGAGCGUUAUCCGGAUUUAUUGGGUUUAAAGGGUGCGUAGGCGGACUGUUAAGUCAGCGGUAAAAGCCCGGGGCUCAACCCCGGCCGGCCGUUGAAACUGGCAGUCUUGAGUUGACGAGAGGUAGGCGGAAUGCGCGGUGUAGCGGUGAAAUGCUUAGAUAUCGCGCAGAACUCCGAUUGCGAAGGCAGCAUACCGGCUCCAAACUGACGCUGAGGCACGAAAGCGUGGGUAUCGAACAGGAUUAGAUACCCGAGUAGUC
rnacentral:rRNA from 1 species